GAUGAACGCUAGCGGCAGGCUUAACACAUGCAAGUCGAGGGGUAUAGUUCUUCGGAACUAGAGACCGGCGCACGGGUGCGUAACGCGUAUGCAAUCUACCUUUCACAGAGGGAUAGCCCAGAGAAAUUUGGAUUAAUACCUCAUAGUAUAAUGAGUUGGCAUCAACACAUUAUUAAAGUCACAACGGUGAAAGAUGAGCAUGCGUCCCAUUAGCUAGAUGGUAAGGUAACGGCUUACCAUGGCUACGAUGGGUAGGGGUCCUGAGAGGGAGAUCCCCCACACUGGUACUGAGACACGGACCAGACUCCUACGGGAGGCAGCAGUGAGGAAUAUUGGACAAUGGGCGCAAGCCUGAUCCAGCAAUGCCGCGUGUGUGAAGAAGGCCUGCGGGUUGUAAAGCACUUUUGUCGGGAAGAAAUCAUGUCGGUUAAUACCCGAUGUGGAUGACGGUACCGAAAGAAUAAGCACCGGCUAACUUCGUGCCAGCA
rnacentral:rRNA from 1 species